UACGUAGGGUGCAAGCGUUGUCCGGAAUCAUUGGGCGUAAAGAGCGUGUAGGCGGCUCGGUAAGUCCGCUGUAAAAGUCCAGGGCUCAACCCUGGAAAGCCGGUGGAAACUGUCGAGCUAGAGUCCGGAAGAGGCGAGUGGAAUUCCUGGUGUAGCGGUGAAAUGCGCAGAUAUCAGGAGGAACACCAAUGGCGAAGGCAGCUCGCUGGGACGUGACUGACGCUGAGACGCGAAAGCGUGGGGAGCAAACAGG
rnacentral:rRNA from 1 species